UCCACAAAAUAAACAUUUCAGUGUGUUUCGGUUCGCGUUGUUGAAGUGUUUGUUGCGGAAUGGCGCAGGUCUGCCGGGUCUCUGGACGAUUCUGAGUUUUUCCCGACUGUCGAGAGUGAGUUUUCUGUGCCUUUCUGAGCCGCGACCCUGAGGCAGGAUUGCCGUUUGGUGAAUGUAUUGCAUGAACGGAGCCGGCGUUUACGAAAAGAUGAACAGAUUAAGCGACACAACCGAUGGUCCAGAUGGAGCAGAAUCGGAUCCAGAAGAUCCCGAGCAGCUUUUGAAUGAUCUUCUAGGCGAACUGGAUAAUUUAGCCGGGGUAUGUAUCCAUAUUGGCAACUUUCCAGCGAACUUGCAAUGUCUCCAUUACAUCGUAAGUACGGUAAACCACUUUCCACGUAUUAAUCAAUGGCAACAAAACACCGGUUCAAACUUACGGGGAAAGUUUUCUUUUUGUACCACAAACUUGCUGGUAGUUUGUUGAUGAAAUCAUGCAAUCUAAUCGACUAUAAGCUUACUCAACAUCAAACAAACCCUCUGACAAUUAAACAGGAGAUAUCUCUACUUCACAUGGAGCGUUUCAGUGCUCUGCUGCAGCCCACAGCCCAAUUUGUAAUAUCAGAAGGCGGAAGUUACACUUGGAUAAUUCGAUAAUUAAAUAGCGUUUAUUCGGACAUUUAGAUAACUGCUUUUAUUAAUGACGCCAGAGUAAAACAAUAUUUGUUGAAGCUCAUUCAUCAAAUGUUUCUACCAGUUUUCUAUCUAGAGCGAGCUUUUACCCUGCUGCUUUGGGCCUAUUGAGUGUCCAAAAAUCUCUCAAUUUGAAAAUUAAUCGGAAAUUCCAUUAGUUAAGGCAGACUUCGUGGCCGUAUUGACUAGAAUAAUCCCCUCAAUAAACCAUUCAGUCACGGUCCGAAAACCAAAUUCCGAACUGGAAGAAUUCGAAAAAUGCCACCAAUUUAAAGUCUGUGUUUUUAUACGGUGUUACGAAAAUAAACUGAAACUAACGUAAAAUUCGAGCUGAGGUUGUUUUCGAAGAUUAAUGUGUUACGCGGCAGCUAGCAGGGGGAAAAGAUCUAUUGAUUGUGUAAUGAAAAUAAUGGAAAAUCGAGCGGUGGAAAACGUAAAAGUCAUUUGGAAAAUAAAAAUAUCGGCCGAAAUUGAUGGGGGCAGCUGAGAGAGG
rnacentral:lncRNA from 1 species